rnacentral:lncRNA from 1 species
CUAGGACUGAACGUUCAUUUCUGGAAAGGAACAUGGAUUUUUGGUCUUUUGGCUAAAAAGAGUAGCGGAUGUUAAUUCAGAACCUAAAAAGUAUUUAAUGAACACAAUUGAGAAGAUACCAAAUGUUUGACAUCGAUAGAUAGUAAGUAAGCAUAGCAAGGGUAAUUUUGCAAACUGAGUAAUUCAUUUUCCGAAAUUGCUGUUUCUUCGUCAUUGGUGGCCCUGCCCAAAAAGUCUUGAGCACAAAUUGACUG